UGCCUACGGGGGGCAGCAGUCGGGAAUAUUGCACAAUGGAGGAAACUCUGAUGCAGUGACACCGCGUAUAGGAAGAAGGUUUUCGGAUUGUAAACUAUUUUAGACAGGGAAGAAAAAAGACAGUACCUGUAGAAUAAGCUCCGGCUAACUACGUGCCAGCAGCCGCGGUAAUACGUAGGGAGCAAGCGUUAUCCGGAUUUAUUGGGUUUAAAGGGUGCGUAGGCGGAUUGAUAAGUUAGAGGUGAAAUGUCCGAGCUUAACUCGGGAACUGCCUCUAAUACUGUUGAUCUAGAGAGUAGAUGCGG
rnacentral:rRNA from 1 species